AACGGCCGUACCAUGCUGAAUAUACCGGUUCUCGUUAGAUCACCGAAGUUAAGCAUCAUUGGGCGCGGUCAGUACUUGGGUGGGUGACCACCUGGGAGUGC
rnacentral:rRNA from 1 species